rnacentral:lncRNA from 1 species
AACGGGUGGGCUAUAGCCUUGGGGGGUGGGGCUGGCCAACUUCGUCCGCCGGACUCGGAAUUGCGCGAGACUUUGUGAGGCACCUCCGUGUGCCAAAAAUAGGCUGCGGGCACAGCCGCGUCCAAAAAUAACCUCCCGAAGGCCGGGGCGCCAAGUUCGUCCAGCGGAAAAAGCCCACAAAAACGGGUGGGCUAUAGCCUUGGGGGGUGGGGCUGGCCAACUUCGUCCGUCGGACUCGGAAUGGCGCGAUACUUUGCGAGGUGCCUCCGUGUGCCAAAAAUAGGCCAUGGGCAAAGCCGCGCCCAAAAAUAACCGCCCGAAGGCCGGGGCGCCAAGUUCGUCCAGCGGAAAAAGGCCACAAAAACGGGUGGGCUAUAGGCUUGGGGGGUGGGGCUGGCCAACUUCGUCCGCCGGACUCGGAAUGGCGCGAGACUUUGCGAGGUGCCUCCGUGUGCCAAAAAUAGGCCACGAGCAAAUCCGCGCCCAAAAAUAACCUCCCGAAGGCCGGGGCGCCAAGUUCGUCCAGCGGAAAAAGCCCACAAAAACGGGUGGGCUAUAGCCUUGGGGGGUGGGGCUGGCCAACUUCGUCCGCCGGACUCGN